AGCGAACGCUGGCGGCAUGCCUAACACAUGCAAGUCGAACGAGACCUUCGGGUCUAGUGGCGCACGGGUGCGUAACGCGUGGGAACCUGCCUUUAGGUUCGGAAUAACUCAGUGUAAUUUGAGCUCAUACCGGAUGAUGUCUUCGGACCAAAGAUUUAUCGCCUUUUGAUGGGCCCGCGUUCGAUUAGCUAGUUGGUGGGGUAAAGGCCUACCACGGCGACGAUCCAUAGCUGGUCUGAGAGGAUGAUCAGCCACACUGGGACUGAGACACGGCCCAGAAUCCUACGGGAGGCAGCAGUGGGGAAUAUUGGACAAUGGGCGAAAGCCUGAUCCAGCAAUGCCGCGUGAGAGAUGAAGGCCGUAGGGUUGUAAAGCUCUUUUACACGAGAUGAGAAUGACAGUAUCGGGAGAAUAAGCACCGGCUAACUCCGUG
rnacentral:rRNA from 1 species